UGGGACAGACAUACCUCAACACUUGGUUUA
rnacentral:piRNA from 1 species